CGAGGGUGUCAUAAGACCUGCUAACUCUUUAACCUGGAAUUAAUUUACCAGCCCCCUC
rnacentral:tRNA from 1 species